rnacentral:rRNA from 1 species
UACGUAGGGUGCAAGCGUUAAUCGGAAUUACUGGGCGUAAAGCGUGCGCAGGUGGUUACGCAAGUCUGAUGUGAAAUCCCCGGGCUCAACCUGGGAACUGCAUUGGAGACUGCGUGGCUAGAGUGUGGCAGAGGGGGGUGGAAUUCCGCGUGUAGCAGUGAAAUGCGUAGAUAUGCGGAGGAACACCAAUGGCGAAGGCAGCCCCCUGGGUUAACACUGACACUCAUGCACGAAAGCGUGGGGAGCAAACAGG